rnacentral:rRNA from 1 species
UGGACGAUGCUUACCAUGCAAGUCGUACGGGCGGGGGUGACCUCGUCAGUGGCGGACGGGUGAGUAACGCGUAGGUAUCUGUCCUUGGGUGGGGGAUAACCGUGGGAAACUGCGGCUAAUACCGCAUAUGUCCUGAGGGGCAAAGGCCUGAGAGGGUCGCCUGAGGGUGAGCCUGCGUCCGAUUAGCUGGUUGGUGGGGUAAUGGCCUACCAAGGCGAUGAUCGGUAGCUGGUCUGAAAGGAUGGUCAGCCACACUGGGACUGAGACACGGCCCAGACUCCUACGGGAGGCAGCAGUGGGGAAUAUUGGACAAUGGGCGAAAGCCUGAUCCAGCAAUGCCGCGUGGGUGAAGAAGGUCUUCGGAUUGUAAAGCCCUUUCGGCGGGGACGAUGAUGACGGUACCCGCAGAAGAAGCCCCGGCUAACUUCGUGCCAGCAGCCGCGGUAAU